rnacentral:rRNA from 1 species
GGGAAUGCCCAGUAGCGGCGAGUGAAGCGGCAAGAGCUCAGAUUUGAAAUCGUGUUUCGGCACGAGUUGUAGAGUGUAGGCGGGAGUCUCUGUGGAGCGCGGUGUCCAAGUCCCUUGGAACAGGGUGCCUGAGAGGGUGAGAGCCCCGUAGGGUGCUGCGCGAAGCUUUUGAGGCCCUGCUGACGAGUCGAGUUGUUUGGGAAUGCAGCUCCAAGCGGGUGGUAAAUUCCAUCUAAGGCUAAAUAUUGGCGAGAGACCGAUAGCGAACAAGUACUGUGAAGGAAAGAUGAAAAGCACUUUGAAAAGAGAGUGAAACAGCACGUGAAAUUGUUGAAAGGGAAGGGUAUUGGGCUCGACAUGGGGGGUGCGCACCGCUGUCUCUUGUAGGCGGCGCUCUGGGCGCCCUCUGGGCCAGCAUCGGUUCCUGCUGCGGGAGAAGGGGCUCCGGAAAGUGGCUCUUCGGAGUGUUAUAGCCGGGGCCAGAUGCCGCGUGUGGGGACCGAGGACUGCGGCUUCUGUCUCGGAUGCUGGCAUAACGGCGCAAUACCGCCCGUCUUGAACCACCGGACCA